CAAAAACUCCACUAUGUAAUUAACAGAAUCAGACCACCCACCGACACAGGCUCCCCUGCUCCGGCAGAGCGAGUCUUAACACUUGCUGUACCGAAGCUGAGCCGAAUUUAACUGUCAAUGAUCAGGCUUAAACACCCAAAUCCUUAACUUGUUUUAAAUUUGUUGGAAUGUAAGCACUUCUAGUUUCUGGGAUCUUCUUUUUCCCUUUCUUAAAAUCUUGGUGUCAUGAUUGAGGAAGACUGAGAAUUCAUGAUCUGGAGAUGUGAAGUUGAUGGCUUUUGGUUCCAAGCAGAGGCGAAGAAGGUUGAACAGUUUUGCAUUGGUCAAUAUGCGUCUUGUUAUUUCCCUCAUGGCAAAUGUAAUUACCCUGAAUGAGCAAACAUUUGACAAUGCCAGAGUUCUGGUGAUAGAAUUAUGGUUUAGAAUGAAGUAAGGGGAUAUCCUCCCCCCAAUUUUUGAGAGGAAUUUGUAGAAUCAUAUAAGAAAAUGUACAUGCUCCUAUUUUAUUGUAAAACCUCCCAGAAUGUAAGUAUGCUGCAUCACCAGAAGCACCUGUGGAUUGAUUGAAAAUCUCUCAUCUCCUAUGUUUGCAAUGAUUCUAAGCAAAAGAAGAGCAUUGGAUAGUUUCAGCCCAAUUCUAAGUAAAUAUGGAUCUAUGUUACACAAGAUUCCCAUUACAUCAGUCUCAUCCUUGUGAAGUACUAGGAUGCUGGUGCAGAAAAUCAAAUCACUUGAAUGCUUGAGGGAGAAUGCUGAGUUGAGCUUGUGGUUGGAGCAGAAUACAACAAAAACUUGGAAUUAAAUGGUACCUUACACAUAGAUAAAUAUCCCAUAAAAGAGAGUUAUACUCUGAACUUGCAAACACAACAACUGUGCAACCACUGCUGGCUUUAAUGAAUAGAAAAUUCUCAUUUCCUUUUUGAAAACUGUUCUGAUAACAUCAAAAUCUCAUUAAGAAUAGUACAUUCAUGAUUUUAUUGAUAAAGCCUUUGAGAGUUAUCAUUAAAGGAACUAGAAAUCUAGAGAAAAAAACUGCAGCACACUACCUGUCUUGGUUUAUUGCUCUUUGAAAAUAAAUCUCCACUCAUUAUGUUAAUUUGUUUUUUAACCAUACCAGCCAAGGUUUUGUAAAUUGCUGUUAAUAUUGAUGGAUGCAAUAAAUUAUCUGUUGAUAGCUAUGACUCAUAAACUUUGGUUGCGGAAAAUAAUGCACCAAAUAGAAAAUGGUAUUGUUUCUUUAAUAUAAGGUACAGCAACAUCUAUUCAAACUACUUGUCCUUUGUCACUCUGCACUUAACCAUUAUCCCAUCAACUUGCACAUAUGCUGAUAUCCUUUCUGUGCUCUUUCUUAACAGCAGUGUUUAAUUAACUGUAUAGCACAUUACUUUAGAAGCUGUGUUUAUGCCAAAAGUACCUCUGUUAUUUUAAUGAUAUGUAUGCACAGAAAUAUGAAAUUGCAAAAGAUUACUUUGUUAGUCUAAUAUUAAAAAUGCUUGCCUUUUCUUCUAUAUAUGGUACCUUCUGACCAAAAGGUAUACCAUUCCAGCAGUCAUUUUUGCAUUAUAGGAUUCAUUUAUUACAAAACAA